GACGAACGCUGGCGGCGUGCUUAACACAUGCAAGUCGAACGGUAAGGCCCUUCGGGGUACACGAGUGGCGAACGGGUGAGUAACACGUGGGUGAUCUGCCCUGCACUUCGGGAUAAGCCUGGGAAACUGGGUCUAAUACCGGAUAGGACUCCGGACUGCAUGGUCUGGGGUGGAAAGCUUUUGCGGUUUGGGAUGGGCCCGCGGCCGAUCAGCUUGUUGGUGGGGUGAUGGCCUACCAAGGCGACGACGGGUAGCCGGCCUGAGAGGGUGACCGGCCACACUGGGACUGAGAUACGGCCCAGACUCCUACGGGAGGCAGCAGUGGGGAAUAUUGCACAAUGGGCGCAAGCCUGAUGCAGCGACGCCGCGUGAGGGAUGACGGCCUUCGGGUUGUAAACCUCUUUCAGCAUCGACGAAGCGAAAGUGACGGUAGGUGCAGAAGAAGGACCGGCCAACUACGUGCCAGCAGCCGCCGUAA
rnacentral:rRNA from 1 species